GACGGAGGAGGCAAGCGUUAUCCGGAAUUAUUGGGCGUAAAGGGCGCGUAGGCGGCCUAGCAAGUCUGGUGUGAAAGCCCAGGGCUCAACCCUGGAAGGGCACUGGAAACUGUUAGGCUUGAGUUCCGGAGAGGAGGGGGGAAUUCCCGGUGUAGCGGUGAAAUGCGUAGAUAUCGGGAGGAAUACCGGUGGCGAAGGCGCCCCUCUGGACGGAAACUGACGCUGAGGCGCGAAAGCGUGGGGAGUAAACAGG
rnacentral:rRNA from 1 species